rnacentral:lncRNA from 1 species
AGUGCAGAGUUCUCUACCCUUUUCCAAAACCACCUACAUAUCUUUCUGUGACCUCAGAGCUUCUGGUCCUUUGCACUGAGUUAGCCCUGAAGUCCAGCUAAUGUAAUUCACAGUCUGUUAGUUUCAAUGUAAACCAAAUACAUAACUCUAUAUAACGAUGCAAAAUUACUACAUGCAUUUUUUUGAAAGUUUCAUCCAAAGUUUGCUAUAUUUGCAAGAAUGACAUUGUAAAACACUGUAGGGUAUAUGUUAUACAUAUGUUUAGUAUUUGUAAAUUAAAAUGUAUUCCCUAGAAGUUUGUGCUAUAAUAUGCUAUGUAUUCAAUAAAGUCACACAGUGUUCCUUUAGCUGUCAAUUUGACUUCUGUGGCUUGGUCUCAUCAGCAGGGAUUGGGGAGUUGCCUUAUCAUUCUACCCAAGCAGGAUGCAACCAUCUUCUCCAUACUGGGUGUCGACUCUUCUUAUUCAGGUGAGAACUUCUCUUGCAAUGGGAGAAGUCAGCCCCACCCUCAUAUUUUAGAAUCCACCCUAGCACAUAUCUGUGUCUUAACCCUGAAACCGUCCUGGGCGAGUGACUGUACUGGCUGGAACAGGUUCCAGAAAUAAACAACUAAGGAACAACAUCUGAUGUUUUGUGCUUUUACUGUCACCUACUUGAGUGUUCUGUACUGCAGUCCCCACAUGAACAAGGACUAAAAGAAACACAGAUCACUGUGGCUAAAAAUGAGGGGUAGGGAAAUAGAAAAGAAUUAACGAGAGGCUGGAUUCUUGUCCCAUUCUUUCCUUUCAAAGGACCCAUCAUGCGAUCACAAAACUGAGCGCUCAUCAACUUAACGACGCAUCAGCUGAUGCUAGCACAUUCGGGCAGUAACAUCACGUAGAAAUAUGCAAGGACAGUUAGGUAGCUGUAUUGCAGUGUUUGUCCACAGAGGCCUGGCCCCUUUCCACCUAGAGAGUUAAUCUGCUUCCUGAGGUGGAAAGAACUUUUGAUUUUUUUCUGGAAAUGGAUUUCUGGAUGGAUGGACUCCAAGAGGACAGAGUUCAUCUUAGCUGGUACCUAGAAGACUGUUUUUGAGGAAUCUGGAAAGUGGGUGAGACAAACUUAGGGUAUAUUUACACUGCAAUUAAAAACCCACAGCUGGCCUGUGCCAGAUGACUCGGGCUCGCGGGGCUCAUGCUAAGGGGCUGUUCAAUUGUAGUGUAGAAGUUCAGGCACAGGCUGGAGCCUGCGCUCUAGCACCCUGUGAGGUGGGAGGGUCCCAGAGCUCGGGCUGCAUCUGAGCACUAAUCUACACCGGGUAAUAUGGUACUUUUUAUUAUUUGGGGGGGGGGGGGG